ensembl:snRNA U6 U6 spliceosomal RNA
GAACUUCACUUAUAUUAGCACACAGACUAAAAUUGGAACGAUACAGAGGAGAUUAGCAUGGUCCCUGCACAUGGGAUGUAACUUUGAUUUAUGGAUCUGGGCUUUAGAAAU